ensembl:lncRNA
CUGGGAAUUCUGAUAGCCAAGUUUGGAAAGCGUGGAAGUCAGAAUGUGAUGCAAUCGAGCAGGCUUCCACUUUGCUCGUUACAGUCGCAUUCCACACAUGCUUUCUGGUGACAACACCCACAUCACCCUAGGAACAUGGGUGUUCCUAACUUGUCAGAUCCUCAUGCACCCGGGGCCCUGGGAGGACGUUCCUGUCACUGGCUGCUUCUACGCUGAUUUCGUCCUCAGAGUAGCAGUCCCGAGGUUGAGUGUGACCCCAGAUCACCCCUCCCGUGGAGGUGCUUCUGCAGGGGAGGACCCGCAUGCUUGCUUGUGUUUACGCCUGGGGAAGCCCCUCUUGGCAAGAUGCUUGGAAGAGGCUCCAGAAGGCAGAGCUCAGAGGACGACUUGGUGUUUCAGAAGGAUUCACUUCAUGCCCUGUUGUCGUUGUCCUCGGUUUACCGAUGAAGAAUCAGGCCUGCAGAGCGUAAGUCAUUUGCCCAAGGUCACAUCUAAAAAGUAGUGAAGCUCUUCCCCACCUGCCCAGCUGUCCCCCACCCCAGAAUUAGAAAGUAGCAAGCUGAAGCUGCAUCUUGAUCUCCCUGAGGUGUCAUCAAGAAAACACAGGAGUCAGAGAUGAAGCCUCCAGCCACAGGGAAGUUUGACCCACCUCGUGCUCGAAAACCCGUUUGGGCGACACAAGCAAAUAAAGUGUCGGCGUUUGCAUGAGCAGCCUCCCAGCACAGAAGAGGAUGCACGGGGAUCUGACGCUAAGAGACAAGCUCUCCCACACGCGGCGCUGGGGACAAGGAGGAGGCCAUCUGUUCCAUCCCUGGUAGUCCCGAUGGGAAGUCCUCUGUAAGAGACAGGAAAACACAGCACCUGCCCGCAGCAGGGGGGUCAGACACAUGGGAUGCAAGGUAUCGCUUGGGGAUAAUGAUAGCACCCCUAGCUCGGCUGUGGAGAGAAUUAAGAGAGAGAGCACAUAGUAAGUCCCCUAAGACAUGAGCUUCUGUGACUUAGGGUGAGCUCUUUGAGGACAGGGCAAUCUCCAACAUCUUCCACCCGACCCUGGGGCCUCGCUCCGUGCCGGGCACACAGUGGGUGCUCAGAUUGCUGAAAGAGCUGAACCUUAUUCCUGCAGGCCCAGAGAGCCAGCGCCGCUCCCAGAACGCCCUCCAAGCGGGCCGCCUCUCCUGCGUCUUCCUUGUCACUUCCUGAGCAGGUGGAGCCGGAGCACAGAUGAGGAAACUGAGGCUCAGAGAGGCGAAGUCACUUGCUUCGAAGCACAAAGGGAUGGGAAGAAGGUUUUGACCCAGCCCCAGAUCUGUUCAUUGAGUGAAGGAAGAGACAGUGGCCAGUCCAGGGACACUGGGUGAGUUCUGUCCUUUCCGAGUUCAGUCUGCCUCCCCCACGGAGGGGGGGAAGUGAGGGGGCAACACAGUGUCACUGCAUCUGGGCUUGGGAUGUUAUUAACAGCUCCCAAAGUGCGGGGGCGGGGAGCUUAGUCACCCUUACCCCACCCCCCGAGUCCAGAAGCCUCCUAGGGGUGGCAGAUGGGCUUCGAGCUGGCUUCUGCAGCCCCAGGAGACCAGGCGGGCCUGGCUGAGCCAGAUGGGGGAGGGGGCGCUGCCACCCGCUGCCCCGCCCACGGGAUGCUCCCCAGCCGGGCCGACCUCCGCGCAGCACACCGGCCGCUCGCUAGACAGCCACCGGGCUCCUUCCCGGGGGGCCCAGGGACCCGUGAGGCCCUUGGAGAGCAGCCUGGGGGAGAGGG